rnacentral:rRNA from 1 species
AAAGGAAUAGACGGGGGCCCGCACAAGCGGAGGAACAUGUGGUUUAAUUCGAUGAUACGCGAGGAACCUUACCCGGGCUCGAACGGCUCUAGAAUAUAUCAGAGAUGGUAUAGCCAGCGAUGGCUGGAGUCGAGGUGCUGCAUGGUUGUCGUCAGCUCGUGCCGUGAGGUGUAGGCUUAAGUGCCAUAACGAGCGCAACCCUUGUUGUUAGUUGCCAUCAGGUAAAGCUGGGGACUCUAGCGAGACUGCCACCGUAAGGUGCGAGGAAGGGGGGGAUGACGUCAAAUCAGCACGGCCCUUACGUCCGGGGCGACACACGUGUUACAAUGGUGGAUACAGAGGGGCGCUACCCAGUGAUGGGAUGCGAAUCUCUAAAGUCCAUCUCAGUUCGGAUUGGAGUCUGCAACUCGACUCCAUGAAGUUGGAUUCGCUAGUAAUCGCGCAUCAGCCAUGGCGCGGUGAAUACGUUCCCGGGCCUUGUACACACCGCCCGU